rnacentral:rRNA from 1 species
AAACAUCGCCUCUUGUCAUCAUAGGAGGUCCAGCCUGCCCAGUGAUUUUAUUCAACGGCCGCGGUAUUCUAACCGUGCAAAGGUAGCGUAAUCACUUGUUUUCUAAAUAAAGACUAGUAUGAAAGGCAUCACGAAGACUAAGCUGUCUCCUUUCUCCAAUCAGUGAACCUAAUCCCCCCGUGAAGAAGCGGGGAUCCUUCUAUAAGACGAGAAGACCCUAUGGAGCUUUAAACAUCAUAACACCUGCCACUGUACCUACCACCCAGGUCUAUCCACAAACGGCACCCUGAUUAUAUGUUUUUGGUUGGGGUGACCGCGGAGAAAAACUCAUCCUCCACAAUGAAGGGGGCCCCCCCCUAAACAAUAAGUUACAACUUUACGUAUCAAGAAAUUGACAUUCAUUGACCCAACAAUUGAUUAACGAACUAAGUUACCCUAGGGAUAACAGCACAAUCCGCUUCGAGAGCCCCUAUCGACAAGCGGGCUUAUGACCUCGAUGUUGGAUCGGGAUAUCCUAGUGGUGCAGCCGCUACUAAAGGUUCGUUUGUUCAACGAUUAAAACCCCA